CCUACUCUCAAUAGGUCAUGGACAGCUGGGUCACCUGGGUGACACCUGAAUGGUUCUGGGGGACAUCCUGGAGCUUUGGUAGGACCUGGACACCUGGACAUGAGCACCUGGGUCUGCCCCAAGACACCUGAAAGGUCCUGGGUGACCUCCAGGACCCCUGGUAGGACCUGAAAAACUGAGUCACCUCCCAGACCUGGAUACCUGGGCCCAUUCUGAGACCCCUGACAGGUCCUGGACACCCUCCUGGACCUCCCUGGACCACCAUGUCCUGACCACCAGGACCCAUCUCCACAUGUCCAGGCCACCAGGACCAUCUGGGCCACAAUGUCCAGGUCACCUGGAUCUCUCCUGGGCCACAAUGUCCAGGUCACCUGGAUCUCUCCUGGGCCACAAUGUCCAGGUCACCUGGAUCUCUCCUGGACCCCUUGGGCCACCAUAUCCAGCCCACCUGGACCCCUCCUGUGACCUUGUCACCUCUCCAGGCCCCAGAAGCCCAGAUCCACCCCGGUGUCCCAUGUCCCCCCAUUGUCCCCUUGUCACCACCACCCCCCUGGGGACAGCUCCUCCCCGCCACCUCCGUUGUCCCCUGUGUCACCUCCGGGGCGCAGGCGUGUGACAUUUCUGCCUCCCGCCAUCCCCCAGGCCGGGCCACCAGGCCACUGGCCACCCCAGGAGUUCCACCAGCCCACCGGACCCUCUCCAGCCGUGGGUGAAGGAGAAGGAGCCCAUCGGGACCAGCCGGACGUGGCGGUGGCACGGGGAGCGACGUUUGUCACUUGUCACCCGUGGUGGCCCCACGGGGCCCCAGCGCCUCCGGUUCCUCCCUUUCCUGGGUGUGGGAGGUGGCCCAGGAGCAAUUGGAGGUGCUGAGGUUUGUCCAGGGGUCAUCCAGGGGUCAUCCAGGGGUCAUCCAGGGGUCAUCCAGCGGUUCCUCGCUGGACGUGGUCCUGCCAAGGCCACACAAGGCAGGGCCUCAGCUGGUGCUGCUCUGGACAGGAGGGGUGACACUGAGAUCUCACCUCCACCAGGAUCUCACCUCCCUUGGGAUUUUACCUCCUCCAGGAUCUCAUCCCCACUGGGACCUCCCCUCCACCUGGAUCUGACCUCCACCUGGAUCUCACCUCCAUUGGGAUCUCACCUCCACCAGGAUCCCAUCUCCAUCAGCUCCUGGCCAGAAGUUGAUGGUUGGACCCUCUUCCAUCAGCUCAUUCACACAAGGACCCACCUCCACUGAAGUCCAUCCCACCAGGACCCAUCUCCAUCAGUUCUUCCAUUAAAGUCCAUCCUGCCAGGACCUGCCCCAGGUGUCCCCAGCGUGUCCCCAUGGAGGUGUGGCGGCAGUGUGCCCACUGGCUGGUGGCCGCGCGCGUCCUGCCCGCGGGACACCGGGCCAGCAGCCCCGGGGGACAGGUGUGGGACCUGGCGCAGGCGCUGCGCGACGGGGUCCUGCUGUGCCACCUGCUCAACGCCCUCCUGCCCCGCGCCGUGCCACCGCGGGACAUCUGUCCCCGGCCACAGAUGUCACAGGUGAGAGCUGGGGACAGGGAGGGACACGGGGGGUGACAAUGGUGGUGACAAUGCCCUCCUGCCACACGCCGUGCCACCACGGGACAUCUGUCCCCGGCCACAGAUGUCACAGGUGAGAGCCCACCUGGGGACAGGGAGGGACACGGGGGGUGACAAUGGUGGUGACAAUGGUGGUGACAACGCCCUCCUGCCCCACGCCGUGCCACCGCGGGACAUCUGUCCCCGCCCACAUAUGUCACAGGUGAGAGCUGGGGACAGGGAGGGACACGGGGGGUGACAAUGGUGGUGACAAUGGUGGUGACAACGCCCUCCUGCCCCGCGCCGUGCCACCGCGGGACAUCUGUCCCCGGCCACAGAUGUCACAGGUGAGAGCUGGGGACAGGGAGGGACACGGGGGGUGACAAUGGUGGUGACAAUGGUGGUGACAACGCCCUCCUGCCCUGCAGUGGCACAGCGGGACAUCUGUCCGCAGCCACAGAUGUCACAGGUGAGAGCCCACCUGGGGAAAGGGGGGGUGACAAUGGCAGUGACAAUGGUGGGUGGUGGGGACAAUGGGAAUGGGGACAUUGAUGGUGACAAUGGUGAUGUGGAUGAGAGGGGUGACCGUGAUGGGGACAAUGAUGAUGAUGGUGGCAAUGUUAACAGGGUUGACAAUGACAAUGACAGCGUUGGUGACAGAGAUGAUGGCAGUGCCACCAUUGGCGACAGUGGUGGUGAUGCUGAUGGGGUGACAAUGACAAUGCUGGUGGUGGUGAUGGCACCAAGGGAGUGACAAGGACAGGGACAAUCGCAGCAUUGACGGGGUGACAAUGACAAUGAUGAUGAUGGUGGCAAUGUUCACGGGGGUGACAAUGACAAUGACAGCAUCAGUGACAGAUUAUGGCAGUGCCACUGUCAUGUUGGUGACAACGGUGGUGAUGAUGGGGGUGACAAUGACAGUGCUGGUGGCAGUGAUGGCAUCAAAUGGGUGACAAGGACAGGGACAAUCAUUGACAGGGUGACAACGACAGUGCUGGUGGCGAUGGUGGCAUCAAAUGGGUGACAAGGGGAGGGACAAUCAUUGACAGGGUGACAACGACAGUGCUGGUGAUGAUGGUGGCAUCAAAUGGGUGACAAGGGGAGGGACAAUCAUUGACGGAGUGACAACGACAGUGCUGGUGAUGAUGGUGGCAUCAAAUGGGUGACAAGGGGAGGGACAAUCAUUGACGGAGUGACAACGACAGUGCUGGUGGUGAUGGUGGCAUCAAAUGGGUGACAAGGGGAGGGACAAUCAUUGACGGAGUGACAACAACAGUGCUGGUGGCGGUGAUGGCAUCAAAUGGGUGACAAGGACAGGGACAAUCAUUGACGGAGUGACAACGACAGUGCUGGUGGCGGUGAUGGCAUCAAAUGGGUGACAAGGACAGGGACAAUCAUUGACGGAGUGACAACGACAGUGCUGGUGGCGGUGAUGGCAUCAAAUGGGUGACAAGGACAGGGACAAUCAUUGACAGGGUGACAACGACAGUGCUGGUGAUGAUGGUGGCAUCAAAUGGGUGACAAGGGGAGGGACAAUCAUUGACGGAGUGACAACGACAGUGCUGGUGAUGAUGGUGGCAUCAAAUGGGUGACAAGGGGAGGGACAAUCAUUGACGGAGUGACAACGACAGUGCUGGUGGUGAUGGUGGCAUCAAAUGGGUGACAAGGGGAGGGACAAUCAUUGACGGAGUGACAACAACAGUGCUGGUGGCGGUGAUGGCAUCAAAUGGGUGACAAGGACAGGGACAAUCAUUGACGGAGUGACAACGACAGUGCUGGUGGCGGUGAUGGCAUCAAAUGGGUGACAAGGGGAGGGACAAUCAUUGACAGGGUGACAAUGACAGUGCUGGUGGCGAUGGCGGCAAUGUUCACAGGGGUGGCAAUGACAAUGACAGCGUCGGUGACAGAGACGAUGGCAGUGCCACCGUCAUGUUGAUGACAACGGUUGUCACAAUGUGGAGAGACGAAAACACUGACACCAAAUGUCCCCAGAUGUCCCCAGAUGUCCCCAGGAGUGCUCCCAGCGAGCCACCAAUGGGCUGAUGGGUGCCCAUGCAGAGGGUGCUGAACUACCACCUGCUGCUCCAGGAACUGUGACAGGGACACACCUUGGACACACGUGAGACACACCUGGGACACAAACGGGAUGUUGGGAUGUAACCAAUACAGCAGGACAGGUUGAGCCUGAGCUUGUCUGGUGCUCGGGGCUGAACCAAAUAGCAGCAACUCCGGUGUUUAACACCAAAGACACUUCUGGCCAGCUGGAUGUGUGGUGUUUUCACCCCAGAGACACUUUUGACCAGCUGGAUUUAUGGUGUUUUCACCCCAGAGACACUUUUGUUCAUGGAUGUGUCAUGUUUCACCAGAGAGACACUUGGUAGAAUCUGAAUGUGUGGUAUUUCACAUCAGAGACAUAUUUUCCCA